UACGUAGGGUGCAAGCGUUGUCCGGAAUUAUUGGGCGUAAAGAGCUCGUAGGCGGUCUGUUGCGUCGGCUGUGAAAACCCGGGGCUCAACCCCGGGCCUGCAGCCGAUACGGGCAGACUAGAGUUCGGCAGGGGAGACUGGAAUUCCUGGUGUAGCGGUGAAAUGCGCAGAUAUUAGGAGGAACACCGGUGGCGAAGGCGGGUCUCUGGUCCGAUACUGACGCUGAGGAGCGAAAGCGUGGGGAGCGAACAGG
rnacentral:rRNA from 1 species